rnacentral:lncRNA from 1 species
GGGAGAUGUUUGAUAUAUACAAUGGAAUAUUAUUCAGCCAUGAGAAAGAAGGAAAUCCUGGAGGGACCUUGAGGGCAUUAUGCUUAAUGAGAUAAGCCAGACAGAGAGCAGGAAAUCUCAUAUGACAUCGCUUGUAUGCGGAAUCUAAAAAAGUUGCACUCAUGGAAACGGAGUGUAGAAUGGUGGUUACCAGGGGCUGAGGAGUGGGGGAAUUGGGGAGAUGUUAAAGUCCAUAGGAAAAUGAGAACACGUCAGUUGAGAGAAAGACAGCAGCUUUCUAAAGAAGGUAGCAUUUGAGAUGGACAUCGAAGGAUGGAUAGGAUUUCAGUAAAUUGAGAUAAAUUACUUAUCUGUAUUUUAUUUGGAGAAUAAUAUGAAACCAUUGAACGUUUUAGAACAGGAAGAUUAAUCUGAUGUGGUACUAAAACAAGUUGAGAGGAAAAGAAACCAAAGGUUGGAGGACUUCUUUCAGUGGCCUAUAGCAAUAGUCCAGGUGAGAGAAGCAGGGCAGGAAGCCUUCAUUCAUUUGGAAUACGAACCUGGUCCUGAAAAUCGUGGUGGCUGACAUGAUCAGCAGACGAUCUUCACGUUUCAGAGAAGACAGGAUGAACAUCUAACUUGUAUGUGACACCUCUUGAGCAUCUGGGCAGAUUUUCAACAAAUCCAGGGCAAGGCUAUUGCCAGGUACUGUCUUGGUGAAAAAAAUAGACAACCUCUGCCAUCCAUGUUAUAACACUAGCAGCAGACUGCAGGAUGAACUGAAGCCAGAUGAACCACAUGGCAAAGAGACCAGCUAAGAAGCUGGUGCGUUUACCCUGUGGAAGAAUGAGGAAGAGAGGAGAACAGAUUCGAGAGAGAGUCGGGAGAGAGUGCAGCAUUCUUUACAGAACUCAGAAUCAUAUUUCAUUUGCCUUAGGAAGAUGCACCCCCAAUGCCCUGUGAUCCUAAUUCUAAAAUCUUGGAUUCUGUGGCCGUCAGCUGGGUCAAAAGCAUUAGAAAGUGCACUAUGAACUCACAGAUUUUGAGAACCGUGGGACCAGUCUUGCCCGGCCACAAUGCCCCCCAGAGAUAUGGCAUUUCUGAUCCUGAGUCUCACCCUGCACCCGGGACGUUUCACCCUACAAGGCCAAUUCUAAGACUCUGGAAUGACAAGUGUCACCGGUUCUGGAUUUCCAGUCCUGGUUUCCAACUACCUGUAAGGGAGUCCCAUGGAAGAAUAACAAAAUAUGGAUGA